ACGAACGCUGGCGGCGUGGAUAAGACAUGCAAGUCGAACGAGAGAAUUGCUAGCUUGCUAAUAAUUCUCUAGUGGCGCACGGGUGAGUAACACGUGAGUAACCUGCCCCCGAGAGCGGGAUAGCCCUGGGAAACUGGGAUUAAUACCGCAUAGAAUCACAAGAUUAAAGCAGCAAUGCGCUUGGGGAUGGGCUCGCGGCCUAUUAGUUAGUUGGUGAGGUAACGGCUCACCAAGGCGAUGACGGGUAGCCGGUCUGAGAGGAUGUCCGGCCACACUGGAACUGAGACACGGUCCAGACACCUACGGGUGGCAGCAGUCGAGAAUCAUUCACAAUGGGGGAAACCCUGAUGGUGCGACGCCGCGUGGGGGAAUGAAGGUCUUCGGAUUGUAAACCCCUGUCAUGUGGGAGCAAAUUAAAAAGAUAGUACCACAAGAGGAAGAGACGGCUAACUCUGUGCCAGCAGCCGCGGUAAUACAGAGGUCUCAAGCGUUGUUCGGAAUCACUGGGCGUAAAGCGUGCGUAGGCUGUUUCGUAAGUCGUGUGUGAAAGGCGCGGGCUCAACCCGCGGACGGCACAUGAUACUGCGAGACUAGAGUAAUGGAGGGGGAACCGGAAUUCUCGGUGUAGCAGUGAAAUGCGUAGAUAUCGAGAGGAACACUCGUGGCGAAGGCGGGUUCCUGGACAUUAACUGACGCUGAGGCACGAAGGCCAGGGGAGCGAAAGGGAUUAGAUACCCCUGUAGUCCUGGCAGUAAACGGUGCACGCUUGGUGUGCGGGGAAUCGACCCCCUGCGUGCCGGAGCUAACGCGUUAAGCGUGCCGCCUGGGGAGUACGGUCGCAAGAUUAAAACUCAAAGAAAUUGACGGGGACCCGCACAAGCGGUGGAGUAUGUGGCUUAAUUCGAUGCAACGCGAAGAACCUUACCUGGGCUUGACAUGUAAUGAACAACAUGUGAAAGCAUGCGACUCUUCGGAGGCGUUACACAGGUGCUGCAUGGCCGUCGUCAGCUCGUGUCGUGAGAUGUUUGGUUAAGUCCAGCAACGAGCGCAACCCCUGUUGCCAGUUACCAGCACGUGAAGGUGGGGACUCUGGCGAGACUGCCCAGAUCAACUGGGAGGAAGGUGGGGACGACGUCAGGUCAGUAUGGCCCUUAUGCCCAGGGCUGCACACGUACUACAAUGCCCAGUACAGAGGGGGCCGAAGCCGCGAGGCGGAGGAAAUCCUGAAAACUGGGCCCAGUUCGGACUGUAGGCUGCAACCCGCCUACACGAAGCCGGAAUCGCUAGUAAUGGCGCAUCAGCUACGGCGCCGUGAAUACGUUCCCGGGUCUUGUACACACCGCCCGUCACAUCAUGGAAGCCGGUCGCACCCGAAGUAUCUGAAGCCAACCGCAAGGAGGCAGGGUCCUAAGGUGAGACUGGUAACUGGGAUG
rnacentral:rRNA from 1 species